UACGGGGGGUGCAAGCGUUAAUCGGAAUUACUGGGCGUAAAGAGCACGUAGGCGGUUAUGUAAGUCGGAUGUGAAAGCCCAGGGCUUAACCUUGGAAUUGCAUUCGAAACUGCAUGGCUAGAGUUUGGUAGAGGCUAGCGGAAUUCCAGGUGUAGCGGUGAAAUGCGUAGAUAUCUGGAGGAACAUCAGUGGCGAAGGCGGCUGGCUGGACCAAAACUGACGCUGAGGUGCGAAAGCGUGGGGAGCAAACAGG
rnacentral:rRNA from 1 species